rnacentral:rRNA from 1 species
UACGGGGGGGGCAAGCGUUGUUCGGAAUUACUGGGCGUAAAGGGCGCGUAGGCGGCCUUCUAAGUCGAACGUGAAAUCCCCGGGCUCAACCCGGGAACUGCGUCCGAUACUGGCAGGCUUGAAUCCGGGAGAGGGAUGCGGAAUUCCAGGUGUAGCGGUGAAAUGCGUAGAUAUCUGGAGGAACACCGGUGGCGAAGGCGGCAUCCUGGACCGGCAUUGACGCUGAGGCGCGAAAGCCAGGGGAGCAAACGGG